UACGUAGGGACCAAGCGUUGUCCGGAAUCAUUGGGCGUAAAGCGCGCGUAGGCGGCCCGGUAAGUCCGUUGUAAAAGUCGAAGGCUCAACCUUCGAAAGCCGAUGGAUACUGCCGGGCUAGAGUACGGAAGAGGCGAGUAGAAUUCCUGGUGUAGCGGUAGAAUGCGCAGAUAUCAGGAGGAAUACCCAUAGCGAAGGCAGCUCGCUGGGACGUUACUGACGCUGAGACGCGAAAGCGUGGGGAGCGAACAGG
rnacentral:rRNA from 1 species